rnacentral:rRNA from 1 species
AUGUGAUUUCCUACAACAUAACAUUAAUGCACCGGUUCCCAUUAGAAAUCCGCAACUGAGCAUGCUUAGACUAGAGUAGUACUGGGAUGGGUGAUCACCCGGGAAGUCCUAUUAUUUUACAUG